GAUAAAAUGAUAUAAUGAAAGAGCAAUAGAAUAGGAUUUCUUAAGGGUGGUCGGCACACUCCCGAUAGAAAGGGGGUGAUGCUGAAUGACAGUUUUUGAAACACUCUCGAUUAUGAUCGCAUUUGCUGGUUUAAUCGUAGCUAUACUGUCAUUUAAC
rnacentral:ncRNA from 1 species